rnacentral:rRNA from 1 species
CCUACGGUGCGCAGCAGUCGAGAAUCAUUCACAAUGGGGGAAACCCUGAUGGUGCGACGCCGCGUGGGGGAAUGAAGGUCUUCGGAUUGUAAACCCCUGUCAUGUGGGAGCAAAUUAAAAAGAUAGUACCACAAGAGGAAGAGACGGCUAACUCUGUGCCAGCAGCCGCGGUAAUACAGAGGGCUCAAGCGUUGUUCGGAAUCACUGGGCGUAAAGCGUGCGUAGGCUGUUUCGUAAGUCGUGUGUGAAAGGCGCGGGCUCAACCCGCGGACGGCACAUGAUACUGCGUGACUAGAGUAAUGGAGGGGGAACCGGAAUUCGCGGUGUAGCAGUGAAAUGCGUAGAGAUCGAGAGGAACACUCGUGGCGAAGGCGGGUUCCUGGACAUUAACUGACGCUGAGGCACGAAGGCCAGGGGAGCGAAAGGGAUUAGAUACCCCGGUAGUC